GUGUGCUAGGUGGGAAGUUAGCGGUGUCCUGUAACCCGCAAUCCGCUCCAGCGGGACCGAAUUCCUGCAUGAGAAUAUUGAUUUUCAUUUAAUGACUGAAAAGUGGUGUUGAGGAUCAAGCCUGACGCAAUUGUAAACUGUGAACCUUGUCAGAUCCGGAAGGAAGCAGCAAUAAACAGAGCUUAUGAUGUGCCGUUGGUCAACUUGAUUUGAGCUAACUAUCAGCGUGUUACCUGGAAUAGAUAUCGAUUGCAGGUGCACAC
rnacentral:SRP_RNA from 1 species